rnacentral:rRNA from 1 species
AACGAACGCUGGCGGCGUGCUUAACACAUGCAAGUCGAACGAUGAACCGGAGCUUGCUCUGGGGAUUAGUGGCGAACGGGUGAGUAACACGUGGGCAACCUGCCCCAGACACCGGGAUAACCAUUCGAAAGGAUGGCUAAUACCGGAUACGACCACUUCGGGCAUCCGAUGGUGGUGGAAAGGAUUCUGGUCUGGGAUGGGCCCGCGGCCUAUCAGCUUGUUGGUGGGGUAAUGGCCUACCAAGGCGACGACGGGUAGCCGGCCUGAGAGGGCGACCGGCCACACUGGGACUGAGACACGGCCCAGACUCCUACGGGAGGCAGCAGUGGGGAAUAUUGCGCAAUGGGCGAAAGCCUGACGCAGCGACGCCGCGUGAGGGACGUAGGUCUUCGGAUUGUAAACCUCUUUCAGCAGGGAUGAAGCGAAAGUGACAGUACCUGCAGAAGAAGCACCGGCUAACUACGUGCCAGCAGCCGCCGUAA